rnacentral:tRNA from 1 species
GGGCCUGUCGUUCAAUGGUAGGAUACGUCACUUGCACUGAUGAGAUUCGGGUUCGAUUCCCGACAGGUCCA